GCCGCCCCGCGGGGUUGCGCCCAGGGAGAGCGAAGGUGCAGAGGUGAACCUCGGCCAAAACAAGUGAACCUCAGCCAAAACUCCGGAGGGGGAAAGCCGCCCCAGCAGGGUGAGCCGCCCCGUCGAGGACGCCCCGUCGCGAGCGCGCAGGCGGCUCCGAGAUGCCGGUGCCUCCCCCCCGGUUGGGAGCGGGCGCGACCGCACCUGCGGCCAGGUGGGACCGGCCCCGCGGGGCUCGGGCAGAGGGGCUGGGGGCUCGGCCCCCCGGGGUCCGCGCUUCCAGAGGGAGAGGCAGCGGGGGGCAGCCGGAGUUGGCCUCCAGGUGAUGGCGAGCGCGGAGAGCAUCCUAAGAGCCCCACCGAGGCCGCCCGGGAGCCGCCAGGCACCUCCCGUUGUGCCUUAGGGCAGUGGCACGACGGGGCGGCUCCGGCGGGGCUGUCCUCCCCAGCGAGCUUCGGCAGGGGGCUCGCAGCCCACGUUGGAGAGGCGGGGGCCGAGAGGGCCCCAAGGGACCCACGAGUCCCCCUGGACCUUUUAGGACAAGGAGUCCCGUCGAGCCCCGACAGCACGCCUCUCAGCCUCCCCGACGCCAAGCUCUGCGCCCUCUCUGGUGCCCCGGAGCCCAGGGGAAGCCUCGGGAGCAUCCCCAGCUGCGGGGCGGCAGCAGCGGCACCCCGGCUCCGCUCCUCCAGGGGCUCAUCCCUGCGGGCUCCGCACCCCGGGGUCGUUAGGGAGGUGUCGGUGGCCGAGCGGCUCCCAGCGGCCGGGCCGGGCGGCCCCUUGCGGCGGGGGUGCCCCAGUUCCCCUCCUCCGGCCCCACGAGGGACCGGGCCAGCUCUUUUCGCCAGCCCCGGCUUUGCAAGCAUCUGCCCGGCGCGGCACAAUCUCGGCUGCCUCUUACAUAAGGAUGGAGCCGCUCCGCCGCCUUCACACGGGCUUCUUGUCGCGGGAGGAACCCAAGUCGGUUGGGGCGAUGCGAAAGGCACCGGAGGAGACCGGAGGAGCCCAGGGCAGCGGGCCCGCAGCAGGUGGAGGUCCUGGGGAGCUCCGCCAGCCCCGGGGCCGCUGCUUCUCCCCACCACCCCCCCGGUGCCACCGUGCACCGGUCCCCUUUCGCCACCCCACAACCAUCCUUUGGGGCAGGUGCCGGUGGGGAUCCACGCAAAACCCGGGGCUGUCUCCUCCAGUCCGGGCACAAGGCUGGCAACAGCCUUUUUUCUCCACAGCUUUUUCUCCUCGGUUUAUAUUAAAGCCCUUCUUUGCUUUUGUCACCUCGCUCCCGCCUUUCCGUGCCUGCUU
rnacentral:lncRNA from 1 species